rnacentral:lncRNA from 1 species
AAGGUCCUGGGAAGGGUGCCCGGCCCUGACUGAACCGUGUAAGGUCGGGGGGAUACUGUUUGGCGGCCCAAUACUUCUUAAACCGUGUGACCUAGU